rfam:Glycine soja cultivar W05 scaffold2015_42, whole genome shotgun sequence.
GUUCCAUAGACAUUUUGGCAUUCUGUCCACCUCCAUUGGUGAUGAUGGCCAUUUGGAGGUGGCCAGUAUGCCAAACGGGCUCUGUGUA